UUUGAGACGACAGAGGCAGAAAACACUAUAUGGAGAUUAUUGAAAAAUAAAGGGUCAGUGCUCUAAAAUGAGUGUCUCUGGGGAGAGAAAGGAGGGGGGCCCUGCCUCUAAAAUGAGUCUCUCUGGGGAGAGAGAGGAGGGGGACAAUGCCUCUAAAAUGAGUCUCUCUGGGGAGAGAGAGGAGGGGGGCCCUGCCUCUAAAAUGAGUCUCUCUGGGGAACAUGACACCAAAACUAAGAGGUUCUGCAGGUGUUCUCAAUCCAGGGUCUGUGGAGGUACUGCAGGGGUUCUCAAACCGGGGUCUGUGGAGAUACUGCAGGGGUUCUCAAUCCGGGGUCUGUGUGGGUUCUGCAGGGGUCCGCGGCACCCUGACUGUACUCGUUGCAAUGUACAAUGUAAGACAUUUGAUAGAAUUUUCACAUGACACGACCACUUUGCCUCUUCUGAAUUAUUGCCUAAUAUAAUAGAAUGCAUCUUUUAGACAAUAUAACCGUUAUAUCUACACUUCUGUUUAACAACUCUAAAUAUCUUUGACAUAGUAGGCAAAGUCCCUGCCAAUAAUGUUGCCUACAACGUUGCAUUCAAUGUUCAUUUUCAUCUAACACAUAUUACGCCCUAGAUUCCUUAAAUUGCCAAAUUUAUAUCAAUGCACAAUUUAGGAUUAUUUUUUAACAACAUGAUGUUGCGCUCCAAAGGGAGAACUUGAAAUAACAUGAUGGAGAUAAUUAAAUAAUCAGAAGAACAACGUGUUUAUUAUUAUACACUCUUAGAACAGAAGGUUCCUUCUAGAACCAAAAAGGCUUCUAUCACUUCCUUAAUAUAUGUGUCAUGUAUUGUCAUGUUAUGUCUUGUUCCUGUUCUUUCUCUUCACUUUGUUUCCCCCUGCUGGUCGUAUUAGGUUACCUUCUCUCCCUUUCCUUCCCCCAGCUGUUCCUCAUCUCCUCUAACUACCUCGUUUACUCUCUCCCACCUGUUCAAAAUUUUUCCCUC